rnacentral:rRNA from 1 species
CAAUAGCGUAUAUUAAAGUUGUUGCAGUUAAAAAGCUCGUAGUUGGAUUUGUGGUGGUUCCUGUGGUCCGAUUUCGGUACUCUCGGGGACUGCCAUCUUUGGGUGGAUCCUGUGUGGCAUUAGGUUGUCGUGCAGGGGAUGCCCAUCGUUUACUGUGAAAAAAUUAGAGUGUUCAAAGCAGGCUUAUGCCGUUGAAUAUAUUAGCAUGGAAUAAUGAGAUAGGACCUUGGUACUAUUUUGUUGGUUUGCGCACCGAGGUAAUGAUUAAUAGGGACAGUUGUGGGUAUUCGUAUUCCAUUGUCAGAGGUGAAAUUCUUGGAUUUCUGGAAGACGAACUAAUGCGAAAGCAUUUACCAAGGAUGUUUNCAUUAA